UACAGAGGUCUCAAGCGUUGUUCGGAUUCAUUGGGCGUAAAGGGCGCGUAGGCUGCGGGGCAAGUCGGGUGUGAAAUCUCAGAGCUCAACUCUGAAACUGCACUCGAUACUGCUUUGCUGGAGGACUGGAGAGGAGAUUGGAAUUCACGGUGUAGCAGUGAAAUGCGUAGAUAUCGUGAGGAAGACCAGUGGCGAAGGCGGAUCUCUGGACAGUUCCUGACGCUGAGGCACGAAGGCCAGGGGAGCAAACGGG
rnacentral:rRNA from 1 species